AGCGAACGCUGGCGGCAGGCUUAACACAUGCAAGUCGAGCGGGCCCUUCGGGGUCAGCGGCGGACGGGUGAGUAACGCGUGGGAAUGUGCCUUCUGGUCUGGAAUAACCCUGGGAAACUAGGGCUAAUACCGGAUACGCCCUAUUGGGGAAAGGUUUACUGCCGGAAGAUCGGCCCGCGUCUGAUUAGCUAGUUGGUGGGGUAACGGCCUACCAAGGCGACGAUCAGUAGCUGGUCUGAGAGGAUGAUCAGCCACACUGGGACUGAGACACGGCCCAGACUCCUACGGGAGGCAGCAGUGGGGAAUAUUGGACAAUGGGCGCAAGCCUGAUCCAGCCAUGCCGCGUGAGUGAUGAAGGCCUUAGGGUUGUAAAGCUCUUUUAUCCGGGACGAUAAUGACGGUACCGGAGGAAUAAGCCCCGGCUAACUUCGUG
rnacentral:rRNA from 1 species